GUUUUGAGUGCAGCAAAGGCGCGAGUUUCUGAAACUGGUAGCAAACUUUUCUGACGGCUUCAAACUCAAGAAUGCCUGUCAGAAGAGCUGUGCACAUGGACAAAACCCAGAAUCAUCCAGCAUCUGCAAUACCAGUCCCUGCAGGAAACUUCCCAUUUUUGACUGGAGCUGCAAGUUCUUAAGCAGUCAGCAGAGGGCAGCAGUGAACAAGGACGUUUCUUCUCUACAUCUGCAGAUUUGAAGACCAGGCUUCAGAGAUAUAGAGGGCUGAGUGGUCUCAGGAGGAGAGAUAACUUCUACAACUUUGUGAAAACAAUUAUGAGCUGAGAUUUUUGUUAGCGAGGCAUCUCGGCUGUUGACAGCUAAUGGAAUUGCUCUUCACCUCUUGUGCGUAUGAUCCCGCGGAGAUAAGGCAGGAGAUGAAUGUGGAAUCUGCGCUGUCAGUUGUGAGGCUGAGCUGUCCUGGAAGACGUCAUUCAUUUGUGGAGGAAGCGCCUGAAACGGUAAGAGCGAAUCCUCUGACAUGUCAGACCCCGUCUCUGUGCCGGAGCCUCUGUCUGGCAGCUGACAAAUGUUGAUUCUACAUUAACCACAAUGCUGCAACGCUGUGCAAAUAAUGUUCUUUCAGAUGGCAACCCUCAUCCCCUUUAUGGCGAAAACUAUGCAAUCCUCCCCACCUGUGCAGUUUAACACCUUUUGAAAAGUAAAUGUGGGGGGGCAAACUGUCUUACACAACACAGUAGUCUCUUUAUUUGGCAGCGCCUGGGAAGGCCGAGGCCUCUCACUGCCCGAGUCGACCUAAGCAACAGCUGGUGUUCACAGCAACAUUUCCUAUUUCUGCCUAAGGUGGAUCGUGUAACUCUCACUUUAUCACCCUUAGAGGCCAUGUGAAGGACAAAGCCAGCACACCCAUAAACAAAACUAAUGUUUUGAUACAGGCCACUUUGGAGACUGAUAGAAGGAACCGUGGUGCUUUGAACGCUCCCCUACCACCCCUGACCAAUAUAAAUAAUCUCAUACCUCUACAACUUGUUUUCAUGAAAGGUUGUUGUCUAAAACUGUGAGCUCUUCUGAUCUAUACAAGAGUUUUGGUAACCAAGAGGGAAAUUUUCCCAAUAGUACAAACUUUUAGCUGAGAGGAUACAAUAUUUACACACUCUAUGUCUUUCAGUAGUCCUAAAGUCAGAGUCAUAGUAACAUGAUAUAAAGCAUCCUGGAUAGCGAUGCAGCAGCUAGGUGGUGACAGAGGCUUUAUUUUUACUGUGGCUUAAAACUGGAAAAUACAAGCUGUUGUGUACUUAUCUGACUUUUUUAAAUGUUAAGAGCACGCGAAGUUGACGCUUUUCCACAGACUAAACUUAUUAAAUGUGAUAUUUAUACACGACUUUACAGCUAUAAAACCAAAUCUGUCUCUGUACAACAGAGUGGUGUAAACACAGGCACGCAAGACUGUUUGUUGCUGCAUUGAGGAUUAUAUUACAUUAUCACCAUCUGUGAUUGGGAAUAUGAAUACACAUAAUGCAGUGUUUUGUUUGUCUGGUUUUAUGUAUAGUUUUUGAGGUGAUGUAUGAUAUAUUUCAUUUUAAAACUACAUCCAACACUAAUUUGCACGAUGAGUUAAUGUUUUGAUCUUUUUUUGUAUUAAUCAAUUCCUCCUCUCAAAAUAGUGUAAAUGUCCAUGAUAACUUUAGGCAGUCCAGUCCUCAAAUCACUUGUUUUGUCCCUCUAACAGAAAAAAAAUACCAAACAAUAUUGGUAUGACAAUGAUAUAAAUCACAAAGAAGCAGAAGAUUCUCACAUUUGAGAGGCUCAAACCAAAGAAUUUUUAGAUUGAAAAUCUUGUGCUUGCAAAACAAUCUUUUGGUACAAGUUCAAUUCAGUGGCUGAUCUGCAGUCUUUGAUUAUUUAGCUAAUCUUCCUACUAAAAAUUAUACCAGAAAUGAUAGUUUUCAAUGUGCUGAUUUGUUUACUUGUAUUAUAUUUCUUAUCUCAUUGGAAAAGUAAAUUCUUACUUUCCUUCACAUCUUUUCCGAUGAACUGUCGUGAUGUGUAAUAAACAUGUAUAAUAGAAGAGCAAGCCAACGCCUUUCACACAACCUCUAAUUGGCCCCUUGUGUUCAUGCCCAUUGCAUUAAGAGUUAACUCAGAUCUUGGGCUCCUAUUUGUCCCUUCAGCCCAUUACUGGCUGCCGGCCCGGAGCCUCAGAUGCACAGGAAACCCUCGCUGACCUGAUAACAUUUAUAGUUGUAAUGGAUUUUUUUAUGCCUGUCAUUAACUCGCAGAGAGAUUGGAGAAAGAAAUUGCUUGUACCUUUUUCUGUGGUAUUUCAACUUUAUAGCAUUAUGUUCAGAUAUGUCACCUUCCAUCAUCUAUUUUUAAGGCCUCUCGCGUCACUGGUUUUGUUUUAAAUGUACAAGUCUUUUGUGCUGGACCCUUGUAGUAUCAAGGACUUGUAAUGAAUAUUUAAUGAUGUUGAG